rnacentral:rRNA from 1 species
UACGUAGGGUGCUAGCGUUGUCCGGAUUUAUUGGGCGUAAAGGGUGCGUAGGCGGUUCCGCAAGUCCUGUGUGAAAUCUUCGGGCUCAACUCGAAGUCUGCACGGGAAACUGCGGGGCUUGAGUGUGGGAGAGGUGAGUGGAAUUCCCGGUGUAGCGGUGAAAUGCGUAGAUAUCGUUUGGAACGCCGAUGGUGAAAACAGGUCGCUGGGGUUGUGCUGACGCUGAGACACGAAAGCCAGGGGAGCGAACGGG